rnacentral:rRNA from 1 species
UACAGAGGGUGCGAGCGUUAAUCGGAAUUACUGGGCGUAAAGCGCGCGUAGGCGGCUUUUCAAGUCGAUUGUGAAAUCCCCCGGGCUUAACCUGGGAACUGCAGUCGAGACUGUCUAGCUAGAGUAUGGGAGAGGGAAGUGGAAUUUCAGGUGUAGCGGUGAAAUGCGUAGAUAUCUGAAGGAACAUCAGUGGCGAAAACGACUUCCUGGACCAAUACUGACGCUCAUGUGCGAAAGCGUGGGGAGCAAACAG